UGUGGGAGCGGGCUUGCUCGCGAAUGCGUCGGGUCAGUCAAUUCAUCUUUCAAUGACACACCGCUUUCGCGAGCAAGCCCGCUCCCACA
rnacentral:antisense_RNA from 1 species